UACGUACGAGGCGAGCGUUAUCCGGAAUUACUGGGCGUAAAGCGCGCGCAGGUGGUGCUGUAAGUAGGGCGUGAAAUCUCCCGGCCUAACUGGGAGGGGUCGCCCUAGACUGCCGGACUUGAGGACUGCAGAGGUGGGUGGAAUUCCUGGUGUAGUGGUGAAAUGCGUAGAGAUCAUGAGUAACACCGGUGGCGAAGGCGGCCCACUGGGCAGUCACUGACGCUGAGGCGCGAAAGCUCGGGGAGCGAACGGG
rnacentral:rRNA from 1 species